rnacentral:rRNA from 2 species
CGGACGGGUGAGUAACGCGUGGGUAACCUGCCUCACACAGGGGGAUAACAGUUGGAAACGGCUGCUAAUACCGCAUAAGCGCACAGUACCGCAUGGUACAGUGUGAAAAACUCCGGUGGUGUGAGAUGGACCCGCGUCUGAUUAGCUAGUUGGCAGGGCAACGGCCUACCAAGGCGACGAUCAGUAGCCGACCUGAGAGGGUGACCGGCCACAUUGGGACUGAGACACGGCCCAA